rnacentral:ncRNA from 1 species
GCAGAGUAGGACUGUGCGCGUGAAGUGCCGGGUGGACAGGGAGUUGUCAUCCGGACGAAAGGCCUGGAAAUCUUUUCCGGCUUGCGGUGCACGGCCCGCAUCCCGCUGC